rnacentral:rRNA from 1 species
AAUAGAUACCCAGGUAGUCCUGGCCCUAAACGAUGAAUACUUGGUGUCUGGAGUUUUAAUUCUCCGGGUGCCGUCGCUAACGUUUUAAGUAUUCCGCCUGGGGAGUACGUACGCAAGUAUGAAACUCAAAAGAAUUGACGGGGACCCGCACAAGCGGUGGAGCAUGUGGUUUAAUUCGACGCAACGCGAAGAACCUUACCUAGACUAGAAUGCCUUUGACCGCCUCGUAACGGAGGUUUUCCGGGCAACCGGACAAAGUGCAAGGUGCUGCAUGGCUGUCGUCAGCUCGUGUCGUGAGAUGUUGGGUUAAGUCCCGCAACGAGCGCAACCCUCGUCCUAUGUUGCCAGCGGAUAAUGCCGGGGACUCAUAGGAGACUGCCGGGGUCAACUCGGAGGAAGGUGGGGAUGACGUCAAGUCAUCAUGCCCCGUUAAGUCCAGGGCUUCACGCAUGCUACAAUGGCUGGUACAAAGGGCUGCAAUGCCGCAAGGUUGAGCGAAUCCCAAAAAGCCAGUCUCAGUUCGGAUUGGGGUCUGCAACUCGACCCC